GCCCAAACACAUAGCUCAGUCGGUAGAGCAUAAGACUCUUAAUCUCAGGAUCAUGGGUUUGAGCCCCACGUUGGCCA
rnacentral:tRNA from 1 species